UCCAUCUCUGGUUAAAUACUGCCU
rnacentral:siRNA from 1 species